rnacentral:rRNA from 1 species
UACGAGGGGGGCAAGCGUUGUUCGGAAUUACUGGGCGUAAAGGGCUCGUAGGCGGCCAACUAAGUCAGACGUGAAAUCCCCAGGCUCAACUUGGGAACUGCGUCUGAUACUGGAUGGCUUGAAUCCGGGAGAGGGAUGCAGAAUUCCAGGUGUAGCGGUGAAAUGCGUAGAUAUCUGGAGGAAUACCGGUGGCGAAGGCGGCAUCCUGGACCGGGAUUGACACUGAGGAGCGAAAGCUAGGGGAGCAAACGGG